rnacentral:lncRNA from 1 species
GGGCAUAUGUCAUCAGGAUUCCUGAGGCUGUGUCAUGGGUGCACACCCUCAACCUUGGCAAAAUAAACUUUCUAAAUUAACUGAGACUUGUCUCAGAUUUUCUGGGUUCACAUUUUGGUAACCACAGGGGGAUUCUGAGUGGAGAUACCCCUGACCUUUGACAAAUAUCCUGUUGGUGCUUGGUACCAGCAUGAGCUAACUUUAUGGUUCAAACCAAUAGGACAAUUUGCCGUGCACCCCCUCCAGAGAAUCCCUGAGCUCCAAAAAUUUGGUUGAGAUCAAAAGUUUAUUUUGCUGUACAACUCCUCUUUUUGAGGGAGUUUUACUUGCUUCCAACAGGAAGGCAGGUUUUCUUGCUUCCAUGAUGAUGGAAGGCAGACAACUCCUUUAUGGAGUUUGAGCUUGCUUCCAACAGGGAAGAUGAGGUUUUUUUUUUCCUUCUUCUAGGAUGGUAGAGAGCGGUCUACAGCCUGAGACCCAUCACCAGCUAUUGCAACAGAGGCUACUCUUUGGUUUUCAAGAAAGAGUGUGGCUGCGCGUGGUGGCUCAUGCCUGUCAUCCCAACACUUUGGGACACCGAGGCGGGAGGAUCACGAGGUCAGGAGUUCAAGACCAGCAUGGACAACCUGGUGAAACCUCAUCUCUACUAAAAAUACAAAAAUUAGCUGGGCAUGGUGGUGCGUGCCUGUAAUCCCAGCUACUCAGGAGGCUGAGGCAGGAGAAUUGUUUGAACCGGGACCCAAGAGGUGAGGUUGCAGUGAACCAAGGUCAUGCCACAGCACUCCAGCCUGGGCUGCAGAGCAAGACUCCAUCACAAAAAAAAAAAAAGUGUAGUUUAAUUUUAUGUAUAAUUUGGCUCAAAGAAAAAUAAAAGCAUCUCCCUCUAGCACCACCAGAUUUUCUUCUCUCUGUACCUUAUGAUGCAAAUUUUGCUAUUUGAUUUUCACCUGAGUUGUUUCCUUUAAUGUGCAAAUUUAAGGCUAUUUAGCUGACAACUGCCUAGGAUUGUGAAAGAGGUUAUCAAGAAUCUGAAAGUCUAAGAUAGAAAAAAAAAAAAUAGGGUGGGCGUUUCUUUAUAAACCUAUAAAAUGUACUUCUAUGGUCAUGCCUAAUAUACAUUGACAUGUAUUUAUAUGUUCUGUACAAAAUGUUUCACUGCUAAAAAUAUAUAAAAGAGCUCUAAUUAAUUGGCUUAAAGAAAAUAAAAGCACUUAAAUCAGCUACUAAAAAAGAAACGACUAGUCAAAUGCUUUUUCAAGUUUAUGUAACUUAAGUAAAAUCUUUAAUAAAUAAGCUAGCUUUAAAAUUAUUGGUAAAGUAAUAUUAAAAGUGUCUUAAGGAAUAACCAACAUAUAUUUGUGUUGCAUUUAUUAAUCAAGUAAAUUUUAUACUCAUCUCUGUCAAAUAUAUUUGUGUCAAAAUUUGGCAUAGGAGACACAAAACUAUAAACCCAGCCCAAA